rnacentral:rRNA from 1 species
UGGGGAAUAUUGGACAAUGGGCGGAAGCCUGAUCCAGCCAUGCCGCGUGUGUGAAGAAGGCCUUUUGGUUGUAAAGCACUUUAAGCGAGGAGGAGGCUACUUGGAUUAAUACUCUAGGAUAGUGGACGUUACUCGCAGAAUAAGCACCGGCUAACUCUGUGCCAGCAGCCGCGGUAAUACAGAGGGUGCGAGCGUUAAUCGGAUUUACUGGGCGUAAAGCGUGCGUAGGCGGCUUCUUAAGUCGGAUGUGAAAUCCCUGAGCUUAACUUAGGAAGUGCAUUCGAUACUGGGAAGCUAGAGUAUGGGAGAGGAUGGUAGAAUUCCAGGUGUAGCGGUGAAAAGCGUAGAGAUCUGGAUGAAUACCGAUGGCGAAGGCAGCCAUCUGGCCUAAUACUGACGCAGAGGUACGAAAGCAUGGGGAGCAAACAGG